UGCACCAAAAGACAGCGAUCGGUGAGCUGCGCCUGGCCAUUCGUGUCACCUCCGACGAUAAGCCACUCUAACGAUUCUUCCUCUUCUUCUUCUUCCUCCUCCUCAUAAAACAGUACUUAAAUUACAAGACGCAGCCAAGCAAACGCGCGCGCACACACACCAUUCCUGAAUCCUGGCCAACUGGUAAAAUCCUGGCCAACUGGUAAACUUAUUAAUGGAGUUCUUGGAUAACGGUAGGCUAUGAGGAGGUUGGUGGCUGCAUGAACUUUUGGGAAUUAAAGAGGGAGACGGUGACCGGGUGUUCAGGGAGUGUAUGAUGGGAAAGUCUACGGCAGAUGCUCUCCAUACCUGGAGCUCCUUGACGUGAAGAGUAAGGGUGUUAAGGUGCGAAAUAUCCAUAAAUGGUACUAGUAGACACAAGAUACUGUUCUUGGAAGCUUAGCUUAAUUAUUUUUGCCCCUAUGUGAGAUACUCCUAUCUAUCUGAAUGAAUGGAUCCUGUUGAACAAGAAAACUGAAAAAAUCGAGAAAAUAAAAUAAAAUAACAUCGAACUAUUUUAACUGGAAUUCGAAGUUGAAGUAUGAAUCCUAAUAACAGAGCCUUCUGCAAGAACAGAGCAAAAAAGAAAAGAAAAGGAUUUGACCAAGAGAGUAUAGGAAGAG
rnacentral:lncRNA from 1 species